GACGAACGCUGGCGGCGUGCUUAACACAUGCAAGUCGAACGGAAAGGCCCUGCUUGCAGGGUCCUCGAGUGGCGAACGGGUGAGUAACACGUGGGUGAUCUGCCCUGCACUUCGGGAUAAGCUUGGGCAACUGGGUCUAAUACCGGAUAGGAGCCAUCUUUAGUGUGGUGGUUGGAAAGUUUUUUCGGUGUAGGAUGAGCUCGCGGCCUAUCAGCUUGUUGGUGGGGUAAUGGCCUACCAAGGCGGCGACGGGUAGCCGGCCUGAGAGGGUGUACGGCCACACUGGGACUGAGAGACGGCCCAGACUCCGACGGGAGGCAGCAGUGGGGAAUAUUGCACAAUGGGCGCAAGCCUGAUGCAGCGACGCCGCGUGGGGGAUGAAGGCCUUCGUGUUGUAAACUCCUUUCGCUAGGGACGAAGCUUUGUUGUGACGGUACCUAGAUAAGAAGCACCGGCUAACUACGUG
rnacentral:rRNA from 1 species